AUAAAAGCAUUGAAGAGGACAUGAGCUGUUGUGAUCGUUCCCAGAGAGGGAAGAUUUGCUGUGAACUUCCUAACAGAGCACAAUUGCUUACCGCCUUGGAGCUUCAGCGGUGAAUUUAAAGUAGUCGCUGACGGUACAGCCGUUAUCUGAUCAAGUGCCAUAACCUUGCACAGGUUAUGGAACAAGGGUGGAACCACGAGCUUAACACUCGUCUCUUAU
rnacentral:ncRNA from 1 species